rnacentral:rRNA from 1 species
CUAAGCAUAUCAAUAAGCGGAGGAAAAGAAACCAACCGGGAUUGCCCUAGUAACGGCGAGUGAAGCGGCAAGAGCUCAAAUUUGAAAGCUGGCCCCCUCGGGGUCCGCAUUGUAAUUUGCAGAGGAUGCUUCGGGAGCGGUCCCCAUCUAAGUGCCCUGGAACGGGCCGUCAUAGAGGGUGAGAAUCCCGUAUGGGAUGGGGUGCCCGCGCCCGUGUGAAGCUCCUUCGACGAGUCGAGUUGUUUGGGAAUGCAGCUCUAAUUGGGUGGUAAAUUUCAUCUAAAGCUAAAUAUUGGCCGGAGACCGAUAGCGCACAAGUAGAGUGAUCGAAAGAUGAAAAGCACUUUGAAAAGAGAGUUAAACAGCACGUGAAAUUGUUGAAAGGGAAGCGCUUGCGAUCAGACUCGCCCACGGGGUUCAGCCGGCAUUCGUGCCGGUGUACUUCCCCGCGGGCGGGCCAGCGUCGGUUUGGGCGGUCGGUCAAAGGCCCCUGGAAUGUAACGCCUCUCGGGGCGUCUUAUAGCCAGGGGUGCCAUGCGACCUGCCCGGACCGAGGAACGCGCUUCGGCUCGGACGCUGGCAUAAUGGUCGUAAGCGACCCGUCUUGAAACACGGACCAAGGAGUCUAACAUCUACGCGAGUGUUCGGGUGUCAAACCCGUGCGCGCAGUGAAAGCGAACGGAGGUGGGAACCCUCACGGGUGCACCAUCGACCGAUCCUGAUGUCUUCGGAUGGAUUUGAGUAAGAGCGUAGCUGUUGGGACCCGAAAGAUGGUGAACUAUGCCUGAAUAGGGCGAAGCCAGAGGAAACUCUGGUGGAGGCUCGCAGCGGUUCUGACGUGCAAAUCGAUCGUCAAAUUUGAGUAUAGGGGCGAAAGACUAAUCGAACCAUCUAGUAGCUGGUUCCUGCCGAA